rnacentral:misc_RNA from 1 species
GAUGAAGAACGUAGCGAAAUGCGAUAAGUAAUGUGAAUUGCAGAAUUCAGUGAAUCAUCGAAUCUUUGAACGCACAUUGCGCCCGCCAGUAUUCUGGCGGGCAUGCCUGUUCGAGCGUCAUUUCAACCCUCAAGCACAGCUUGGUGUUGGGACUCGCGUUAAUUCGCGUUCCCCAAAUUGAUUGGCGGUCACGUCGAGCUUCCAUAGCGUAGUAGUAAAACCCUCGUUACUGGUAAUCGUCGCGGCCACGCCGUUAAACCCCAACUUCUGAAUGUUGACCUCGGAUCAGGUAGGAAUACCCGCUGAACUUAAGCAUAUCAAUAAGCGGAGGA